GACAAGAACUAAACAGGAUCCCCAUAGUAAUGGCGAAUGAACCGGGAUAAACUCAGCAUGGAAAUUGGGGCCUUUGGCUUUGACUUGUAAUCUGGUGAGGCAUUGCCAACAGAGGCGCAUAUGUAAGUCUCUUGGAAAAGAGCAUCAACGAAGGUGAGAGUCCUGAUUGUCAUGUGCAGCCCCCCUGUGCACGGUGUGCCUUCUAAGAGUCACGUUCCUUGGGAUUGGAGCGCAAAUUGGGUGGUAACUUUCAUCUGAAGUUAAACAAUGGUUUGGGACCGAUAGGAAACAAGUACCAUGAGGGAAAGGUGAAAAGGACUUUGGAAAGAGAGUUAAAAGUGCCUGAAAUUGCUGAAGGGGAAGCGAAUGGAACCAGUAGUGCUGGGUGAGAUUGUCACAUGCUACAAGGAUUGGUUGCUGCCACAACGCAAGUGUGAUGGCAAUUUGUGAAUUGCUAGUGUGUGGUGUGUCUUACCUAGUGGGUCAUUGUGGGUUUAUGCAUUAAGAUAAGUCAAAGCAAGCGGGAGCAAGUUUACGAGUUUGUGAAUGUGUGUUGUUAUGCUUGUGCGUAAGCUUUAGUGUUUGUCUGGCUGCAGGGCUGUCCAUCCUCGAGCUGAGGGUUGCGAUGAGCAUAACCUUCUGCACAGAUCUGACGAAAUGGUUCAUUC
rnacentral:rRNA from 1 species